rnacentral:rRNA from 1 species
AUUGAACGCUGGCGGCAUGCCUUACACAUGCAAGUCGAGCGGCAGCACGGGUGCUUGCACCUGGUGGCGAGUGGCGAACGGGUGAGUAAUACAUCGGAACAUGUCCUGUAGUGGGGGAUAGCCCGGCGAAAGCCGGAUUAAUACCGCAUACGAUCUACGGAUGAAAGCGGGGGACCUUCGGGCCUCGCGCUAUAGGGUUGGCCGAUGGCUGAUUAGCUAGUUGGUGGGGUAAAGGCCUACCAAGGCGACGAUCAGUAGCUGGUCUGAGAGGACGACCAGCCACACUGGGACUGAGACACGGCCCAGACUCCUACGGGAGGCAGCAGUGGGGAAUUUUGGACAAUGGGCGAAAGCCUGAUCCAGCAAUGCCGCGUGUGUGAAGAAGGCCUUCGGGUUGUAAAGCACUUUUGUCCGGAAAGAAAUCCUUGGCUCUAAUACAGUCGGGGGAUGACGGUACCGGAAGAAUAAGCACCGGCUAACUACAUG